CUUUGACAUGUGUGAAAACAUGAAAUGACCCUUGGCUCUUAUUGUUCUUGCUGGUGUGGUAUGUUCACGGCUGAAAAGGUGGUCAGAAGGAGAAAGGAGGAAGUGAGAAGAAAGAAACAGGGAAAUGCAGGCUGAGGAAUUACCAAGGAGGCAGGAGGUGGAGCAAAACACACCAAGCCUGAUGCCAAUCAUUGACAAUAUUAUGACCCUGCAUGUGAUGGAUCAGCUGACACCAUCCAGAUUGGUAAACUGGUUCGUCUGAUCUUGUGCCCUCCACCCAGGAACUGACUCAGCGCAAGAAGACAGCUUCGACUCCUUAUGAUUUCAUCCCUAACCAAUCAGCACUCCUGGCUCACUGGCUUCCCCCAAC
rnacentral:lncRNA from 1 species